CCUACGGGGGGCAGCAGUGGGGGAUAUUGCACAAUGGGGGGAACCCUGAUGCAGCGACGCCGCGUGGGUGAAGGAGCGUUUCGGCGCGUAAAGCCCUAUCGGCAGGGAAGAAGGAGGACGGUACCUGACUAAGAAGCCCCGGCUAACUACGUGCCAGCAGCCGCGGUAAUACGGAGGGGGCAAGCGUUAUCCGGAUUUACUGGGGGUAAAGGGGGGGCAGGCGGCAGCGCAAGCCAGGGGUGAAAGCCCGGGGCCCAACCCCGGGACUGCCCUUGGAACUGCAUGGCUGGAGUGCGGGAGGGGCAGGCGGAAUUCCUGGUGUAGCGGUGAAAUGCGUAGAUAUCAGGAGGAACACCGGCGGCGAAGGCGGCCUGCUGGACCGCGACUGACGUUGAGGCUCGAAAGCGUGGGGAGCGAACAGGAUUAGAUACCCUGGUAGUC
rnacentral:rRNA from 1 species